UACGAAGGGGGCAAGCGUUGCUCGGAAUCACUGGGCGUAAAGGGCGCGUAGGCGGGCGUCUAAGUCAGGGGUGAAAUCCCGAGGCUCAACCUCGGAAUUGCCUUUGAUACUGGAUGUCUAGAGACCGGAAGAGGUGAGUGGAACUGCGAGUGUAGAGGUGAAAUUCGUAGAUAUUCGCAAGAACACCAGUGGCGAAGGCGGCUCACUGGUCCGGUUCUGACGCUGAGGCGCGAAAGCGUGGGGAGCAAACAGG
rnacentral:rRNA from 1 species